rnacentral:sRNA from 1 species
AGUGUACGCGCUGCCGGCGAAGAGGGGAGCCUGACGACUCGGAAAUUUGAAUACCACAGUAGCAUGGAGUGUGACCUCAUGGAGACUGACAUCUUGGAGUCGUUGGAGGAUCUAGGUUACAAGGGCCCAUUGUUGGAAGAUGGAGCGCUCUCUCAGGCAGUCUCUGCUGGAGCCAGUUCCCCCGAGUUUACCAAACUCUGUGCUUGGCUGGUGUCUGAAUUAAGAGUGCUCUGUAAACUAGAGGAAAACGUGCAAGCAACUAACAGUCCGAGUGAAGCUGAAGAAUUCCAGCUUGAGGUGAGUGGGCUACUAGGGGAGAUGAACUGCCCGUAUCUUUCACUGACAUCUGGGGAUGUGACCAAGCGCCUUCUCAUUCAGAAGAACUGCCUCCUCUUGCUCAUUAAAGGAAACAUUAGCAAAAGUUCCACCUAAUCAUGUGGGAAAGCCUUUACUGAAGAAGCCAAUGGGACCAGCCCACUGGGAAAAGAU